UACAGAGGUCCCAAGCGUUGUUCGGAUUCACUGGGCGUAAAGGGUGCGUAGGCGGUCGGGUAAGUCUGACGUGAAAUCUCCAAGCUCAACUUGGAAAUGGCGUCGGAUACUAUUCGGCUCGAGGAAUGGAGGGGAGACUGGAAUUCUCGGUGUAGCAGUGAAAUGCGCAGAUAUCAGGAGGAACACCGAUGGCGAAGGCAGGUCUCUGGGCAUUAACUGACGCUGAGGAGCGAAAGCAUGGGGAGCGAACAGG
rnacentral:rRNA from 1 species